CCCAUGGCUCAGAUUGAACGCUGGCGGCAGGCCUAACACAUGCAAGUCGAGCGGAUGACAGGAGCUUGCUCCUGAAUUCAGCGGCGGACGGGUGAGUAAUGCCUAGGAAUCUGCCUGGUAGUGGGGGACAACGUUUCGAAAGGAACGCUAAUACCGCAUACGUCCUACGGGAGAAAGCAGGGGACCUUCGGGCCUUGCGCUAUCAGAUGAGCCUAGGUCGGAUUAGCUAGUUGGUGAGGUAAUGGCUCACCAAGGCGACGAUCCGUAACUGGUCUGAGAGGAUGAUCAGUCACACUGGAACUGAGACACGGUCCAGACUCCUACGGGAGGCAGCAGUGGGGAAUAUUGGACAAUGGGCGAAAGCCUGAUCCAGCCAUGCCGCGUGUGUGAAGAAGGUCUUCGGAUUGUAAAGCACUUUAAGUUGGGAGGAAGGGCAGUAACUUAAUACGUUGCCGUCUUGACGUUACCGACAGAAUAAGCACCGGCU
rnacentral:rRNA from 2 species